CGGACAGAAGGGAGCUUGCUCCCGGAUGUUAGCGGCGGACGGGUGAGUAACACGUGGGUAACCUGCCUGUAAGACUGGGAUAACUCCGGGAAACCGGAGCUAAUACCGGAUAGUUCCUUGAACCGCAUGGUUCAAGGAUGAAAGACGGUUUCGGCUGUCACUUACAGAUGGACCCGCGGCGCAUUAGCUAGUUGGUGGGGUAAUGGCUCACCAAGGCGACGAUGCGUAGCCGACCUGAGAGGGUGAUCGGCCACACUGGGACUGAGACACGGCCCAGACUCCUACGGGAGGCAGCAGUAGGGAAUCUUCCGCAAUGGACGAAAGUCUGACGGAGCAACGCCGCGUGAGUGAUGAAGGUUUUCGGAUCGUAAAGCUCUGUUGUUAGGGAAGAACAAGUGCGAGAGUAACUGCUCGCACCUUGACGGUACCUAACCAGAAAGCCACGGCUAACUACGUGCCAGCAGCCGCGGUAAUACGUAGGUGGCAAGCGUUGUCCGGAAUUAUUGGGCGUAAAGGGCUCGCAGGCGGUUUCUUAAGUCUGAUGUGAAAGCCCCCGGCUCAACCGGGGAGGGUCAUUGGAAACUGGGAAACUUGAGUGCAGAAGAGGAGAGUGGAAUUCCACGUGUAGCGGUGAAAUGCGUAGAGAUGUGGAGGAACACCAGUGGCGAAGGCGACUCUCUGGUCUGUAACUGACGCUGAGGAGCGAAAGCGUGGGGAGCGAACAGGAUUAGAUACCCUGGUAGUCCACGCCGUAAACGAUGAGUGCUAAGUGUUAGGGGGUUUCCGCCCCUUAGUGCUGCAGCUAACGCAUUAAGCAC
rnacentral:rRNA from 1 species